GUGAAGAACGCAGCGAAAUGCGAUAAGUAGUGUGAAUUGCAGAAUUCAGUGAAUCAUCGAAUCUUUGAACGCACAUUGCGCCUUCUAGUAUUCUGGGAGGCAUGCCUGUUUGAGCGUCAUUAAACCUCUCUCAAGUAUGAUUACUUGGAUGUGAAGGAAGAGUACCUUAAACUUAAGGAGUGUUCUCCUUUGAAAUUGAUUAGCAGAUGGUAAUGUUAUUAAAUCCCUGAUGUUGUAAGAAAUAACAGUGGUUUUGUAGACUAUUAUCUAGCUUUAAAUUAUAAUUUUUAUUAUGGUUGACCUCAAAUCAGGUAAGGAUACCCGCUGAACUUAAGCAUAUCAAUAAGCGGAGGA
rnacentral:misc_RNA from 1 species